CUAGCUGUAAACGAUGGAUACUAGGCGUUGAGAGUAUCGACCCUCUCAGUGUCGUAGCUAACGCGUUAAGUAUCCCGCCUGGGGAGUACGCGCGCAAGCGUGAAACUCAAAGGAAUUGACGGGGGCCCGCACAAGCGGUGGAGUAUGUGGUUUAAUUCGAUGCAACGCGAAGAACCUUACCAGGGCUCGACAUGUCCGGAACCCUGCCCAAAGGCGGGGGUGCCUACGGGAACCGGAACACGAGGUGGUGC
rnacentral:rRNA from 1 species